rnacentral:rRNA from 1 species
AUUGAACGCUGGCGGCAGGCCUAACACAUGCCAGUCGAGCGGAUGAAGGGAGCUUGCUCCUGGAUUCAGCGGCGGACGGGUGAGUAAUGCCUAGGAAUCUGCCUGGUAGUGGGGGAUAACGUCCGGAAACGAGCGCUAAUACCGCAUACGUCCUGAGGGAGAAAGUGGGGGAUCUUCGGACCUCACGCUAUCAGAUGAGCCUAGGUCGGAUUAGCUAGUUGGUGGGGUAAAGGCCUACCAAGGCGACGAUCCGUAACUGGUCUGAGAGGAUGAUCAGUCACACUGGAACUGAGACACGGUCCAGACUCCUACGGGAGGCAGCAGUGGGGAAUAUUGGACAAUGGGCGAAAGCCUGAUCCAGCCAUGCCGCGUGUGUGAAGAAGGUCUUCGGAUUGUAAAGCACUUUAAGUUGGGAGGAAGGGCAGUAAGUUAAUACCUUGCUGUUUUGACGUUACCAACAGAAUAAGCACCGGCUAACUUCGUG